rnacentral:rRNA from 1 species
AGAGUUUGAUCCUGGCUCAGGACGAACGCUGGCGGCGUGCCUAAAACAUGCAAGUCGAACGCGACGGCCCUUCGGGGCCCGGGAGUGGCGAACGGCGGAGUAAUACGUAAGCAACGUGCCCUAAAGACUGGGAUAUACCGGGGAAACCCGGGGCAAUACCGGAUGUGAUCACUUACCGGCAUCGGAAAGUGAUUAAAUGGUUUUUCGCUUUAGGAGCGGCUUACGCCCUAUCAGCUAGUUGGUGAGGUAAUGGCUCACCAAGGCUUCGACGGGUAACUGGUCUGAGAGGAUGACCAGUCCGAGUGGGACUGAGACACGGCCCACACACCUACGGGUGGCAGCAGUUGGGAAUCUUGCACAAUGGGGGCAACCCUGAUGCAGCGACGCCGCGUGGAGGAUGACGGAUUUAGGUCUGUAAACUCCUUUUAUCGGGAAAGACUUAGGACGGUACCCGAUGAAUAAGCUCCGGCUAACUACGUGCCAGCAGCCGCGGUAAUACGUAGGGAGCAAGCGUUGUCCGGAUUUACUGGGCGUAAAGGGCGCGUAGGCGGCCUGUUAAGUAUGGAGUGAAAUCUCCGGGCUCAACCCGGAAACUGCUCUGUAAACUGGCAGGCUAGAGGAAGGUAGAGGUGAAUGGAAUUCCCGGUGUAGCGGUGACAUGCAUUGAUAUCGGGAGGAACACCCAUGGCGAAGGCAGUUCACUGGACCUUACCUGACGCUGAGGCGCGAAAGCGUGGGGAGCAAACAGGAUUAGAUACCCUGGUAGUCCACGCCCUAAACGAUGGAAACUAGGUGUCAGGGUAUUGACCCCUCUGGUACCGCAGCUAACGCAUUAAGUUUCCCGCCUGGGGAGUACGACCGCAAGGGUUGAAACUCAAAUGAAUUUGACGGGACCCCGCACAAGCGGUGGAGCAUGUGGUUAAUUUCGAUACUAACCGAAGAACCUUACCCAGGUUUGACAU